rnacentral:rRNA from 1 species
AUUGAACGCUGGCGGCAGGCUUAACACAUGCAAGUCGAACGAGUGGCGGACGGGUGAGUAAUGCUUGGGAAUCUGGCUUAUGGAGGGGGAUAACUACGGGAAACUGUAGCUAAUACCGCGUACAAUAGGAUGAGCCCAAGUGGGAUGAGGUAGUCGGUGAGGUAAAGGUUCACCAAGCCGACGAGCUCUAGCUGGUCGUAGAGGAUGACCGGCCACACUGUGACUGAGACACGGCCCAGACUCCUACGGGAGGCAGCAGUGGGGAAUAUUGCGCAAUGGGGGCAACCUGACGCAGCCAUGCCGCGUGAAUGAAGAAGGCCUUCGGGUUGUAAAGUUCUUUCGUUAGCGAGGCGUUAUCUACAGAAGAAGCACCGGCUAACUCCGUGCCAGCAGCCGCGGUAAUUC